UAUGUGAUCGUCUCUCGCAUAUCAAUAAGCGGAGGAAAAGAAACUAACAAGGAUUCCCCUAGUAACGGCGAGUGAAGCGGGAAGAGCUCAAAUUUGAAAUCUUAAAGGGUUUCCCUUUACGAAUUGUAGUUUAAAGAAGUGUUUUCUGUUGAGGUUUUGGUAAAAGUUCUUUGGAAUAGGACAUCAUAGAGGGUGAGAAUCCCGUAUUUGACCUUUACUUUCAACUUUGUGAUACACUUUCAAAGAGUCGGAUUGUUUGGGAAUGCAGUCCAAAAUGGGUGGUAAAUUUCAUCUAAAGCUAAAUAUUGGCGAGAGACCGAUAGCGAACAAGUACCGUGAGGGAAAGAUGAAAAGAACUUUGAAAAGAGAGUUAAACAGUACGUGAAAUUGUCAAAAGGGAAGCGUUUGACACCAGUGUUGUUUUUCUGAAAAUCAAUUAAAGAACUGUUUAUGCUAAGUUGUUUAGACUUUAUCAGCUAACUGUUUAGUUUUGAGCUUUUCUUUAAUGCACUUUUCAGUUAACAAGUCAACAUCAAUUUCUUUUGCUGUAAAAAAGCUUGAGGAGGGUGGCUUGAGAUUCGUCUUAAGUGUUUAUAGCCUCUUGCCUAUGCAGUCGGAGAGAUUGAGGUCUGCAGCGUAGAUCCUUCGGGGCUAAAUGCAUUUGUGCUAAGUUAUAGCAUUUUAUAGACAACUUGUUGACUAUGAUUUGUCUUGUAGCUUACUCGCUUAUGUUAUUUUACCUACGCUUAGGAUGUUGAUAUGCAUGACUGAUAU
rnacentral:rRNA from 1 species